GAUGAACGCUGGCGGCGUGCCUAAUACAUGCAAGUCGAGCGAAUGGAUUAAGAGCUUGCUCUUAUGAAGUUAGCGGCGGACGGGUGAGUAACACGUGGGUAACCUGCCCAUAAGACUGGGAUAACUCCGGGAAACCGGGGCUAAUACCGGAUAACAUUUUGAACCGCAUGGUUCGAAAUUGAACGGCGGCUUCGGCUGUCACUUAUGGAUGGAACCGCGUCGCAUUAGCUAGUUGGUGAGGUAACGGCUCACAAAGGCAACGAUGCGUAGCCGACCAGGAAGGGUGACCGGCAACACUGGGACUGGGACACGGCCCAAAACCCUGCGGGAGGCAGCAGUAGGGAAUCUUCCGCAAUGGACGAAAGUCUGACGGAGCAACGACGCGUGAGUGAUGAAGGCUUUCGGGUCGUAAAACUCUGUUGUUAGGGAAGAACAAGUGCUAGUUGAAUAAGCUGGCACCUUGACGGUACCUAACCAGAAAGCCACGGCUAACUACGUGCCAGCCGCCGCAGUAA
rnacentral:rRNA from 1 species